CCGGGCUCCCCCAGGAACUGGAGCCUUAAAGAGGACGCCGCGGCCACCCCGCCCUGCAGGCCCACCUGCAGCUGGGCUGCAUCUGGGAGAGGCAAGCGAGGGGCCGGCCAGCUUCACUGCCUGCAUGCCCUUUAGGAGCAGAACAAGCUGCAAAACACCCACCUGCUCUGGGAACAAGGCACGCAUGACCAGUCUAGGAAAAGUGUGCAAAGCUCUCAAGACUCCGAUGCAUACGGGAAAAUCAGAGAAAUGUAGACAAGCACCAAGGAGAAAACAGAAGGCACGUCAUCAACUAAACAUCUGACUCGCAUUUUGGACAUGGUCUAGUGCUUUCUAGGCAAUUGUAAGUCCUUGCCAUGCAUGUUGGUUCACAAACUGUUCUUAACACAUGAUGUAUUAUGCUGACUUCUCAUCUCAUUAGGCAUAUUUUACACUAGAUUUUCAAAGAGUGACCAAUGUUACUAUGGCACAUCCUGCCUAACUAUUUCACUGUCAGUAGCUGCCCAGGUUAUAUCUGGAUUUUCUAUUUAUAAACACUGAGAAACACCCUUUUCAAUAAAUGCUUCUUAACAUUCAUGAUUCUUUAAAUAAAUGUCUAGCUCAUUCAGACUCCAAUGGCCAAAGGGUACAUGUGCCUUAAAAUCUUUAAAACAUUAACCGGGCUGGGCACGGUGGCUCACACCUGUAAUCCUAGCACUUUGGGAGGCCAAGACGGGAGGAUCACCUGAGGUCGGGAGUUCAAGACCAGCCUGACCAACAUGGAGAAACC
rnacentral:lncRNA from 1 species